rnacentral:rRNA from 1 species
AUUGAACGCUGGCGGCAGGCUUAACACAUGCAAGUCGAGCGAGCGGCGGACGGGUGAGUAAUGUCUGGGAAACUGCCUGCUGGAGGGGGAUAACUACUGGAAACGGUAGCUAAUACCGCAUACCAUCAGAUGUGCCCAGAUGGGAUUAGCUAGUGGGUGGGGUAAUGGCUCACCUAGGCGACGAUCCCUAGCUGGUCUUAGAGGAUGACAAGCCACCCUGGGACUGGUGCACGGGCCAGACUCCUACGGGAGGCAGGAGUGGGGAAUAUUGCAAAAUGGGCGCAAGGCUGAUGGAGCCAUGCCGCGUGUGUGAAGAAGGCCUUCGGGUUGUAAAGCACUUUCAGCGAGGAAGCGUUACUCGCAGAAGAAAGACCGACUAACUCCGUGCCAGCAGCCGCGGUAAUAC